UUGGUUUUGAUGCCAGAUGAUAUAUAUGCCAAUUUUAACGUAGAUCGAUUUGGAAAUAAAGUUGAUUUGAACGAAAUAUGUGAAAAUAAAGAUUGUCCCACUGUGGACGAAACUGAAAAUAUUCUUGGGUUACAAGCCUGUAUGUUCUCAGAAACAAUGCGAACUGAGGAACAAUUUCAUGGCAUGGCUUUCCCAAGAUUACUCGCACUUGCUGAAAGAGCUUGGCACAAGGCAUCAUGGGAAAAACAAAACUGACGUUGAUGACAGAAAUGUUGAACGUGAUCAAGAUUGGAAAAAAUGUUCUCGGAUAAUCUCGGAUACAAAGAGCUUUCUCGUCUGGACAAAUAUUCUACAUUUUAUAGAAUACCACCACCAGCGGGGCGAGGUUAGUUUAACAUAUCUUGUGAUAAUUGCACGCAAUGUAGAAGUACGUAGGAUGACAAAUGAGAAUUCAUUAUCUUUGAUAACCGAAAACAUGCAGUUCUCUCUUGAUAGUUUAAAAGUUAUCUUUUCUUGCUAGAAUUAUAAUCAUACUUAAAAUAUUAUUCUGUUUUAUUUCUUUUUAGGAUUUACGAUGGAACUCUGAAAGUAAAUACGAAAUAUGCAAAUCUUCUUGUUGAAGUCAGCAAAGAUAAUGGCAAAACGUGGAAUGUUUACAAGGAAGCUAAAAUAGACCCUGGGACAAAGGUUCUUUUGCGCUCAAGGUCAAAGACUUCUGACAUUACCAGCAGACAUAUUGAAGUAUCUACACCAACUGUUUCCGGUGCUGCUCAAUUAUGCCAACAUCUAAGUCUGAUUGUGUUGGUCUUGUACACCUUAUCUCAUCUCUUGACAAAGUGAUCUAUGUUUAUAAAAUGUUAAAUGUUGUUUGUUAUGAAAGUCGGAAUUUCAGAAUAUAUGUGUGUAUACUCGAAGAAUGUAACAUGUAACUGAAAACUUCUCACAGUGAUAAAACAUCGUGUUUGAGCUUCAGGUCGUCAAAUACCAUGGCAAGACCAUUGUGACAACUUCAUUUUCAUAAUCGUGCAUUGUUUGUUCGAAUUUUUUUUAUGUAUUUGUCGUUAUAUAUCCCCUGUACUUUUUAUAUCAUACAUGUAUAUGUACAUGUCCUAUAUCAUAUAUGUCAGCACACGCAUUUGAAAAAAGUUACGCUUACAUUACAAUUCACAUCUUUUAUAUUACUUCUAUAUAUGUCAUAUGAUUGUACAGUUUUAUUCAUGUGUUUAACUUUGUUACAAUGAUAGUUUUCUGAUUCAUUUUUAAAGGAUUUUUAUUGACUCUUUUGAGCUGGUAGACUUUCAGGAAUGCUGUAGUGGUGUAAUAGCGGACGGAUCUUGUGACAAUCAAAAUAGUGCCAGCCUUAUUUCCUUUUAUGAAAUUGUCUGAAGUGUAGUGUGCAAAACAGAAUCACCAUAUUUUAGCUGUUGCUUGCAUGACGGAAUAAAACUUUUAUUCCUUU